rnacentral:rRNA from 1 species
UACGUAGGGUGCAAGCGUUGUCCGGAAUUAUUGGGCGUAAAGGGCUCGUAGGCGGUUUGUCGCGUCGGGGGUGAAAACCCAGGGCUCAACCCUGGGCCUGCUUCCGAUACGGGCAGACUAGAGGUAUGCAGGGGAGAAUGGAAUUCCUGGUGUAGCGGUGAAAUGCGCAGAUAUCAGGAGGAACACCGGUGGCGAAGGCGGUUCUCUGGGCAUUACCUGACGCUGAGGAGCGAAAGUGUGGGGAGCGAACAGG